AUUGAACGCUGGCGGCAGGCCUAACACAUGCAAGUCGAGCGGUAACAGGAGAAAGCUUGCUUUCUUGCUGACGAGCGGCGGACGGGUGAGUAAUGUAUGGGGAUCUGCCCGAUAGAGGGGGAUAACUACUGGAAACGGUGGCUAAUACCGCAUAAUGUCUACGGACCAAAGCAGGGGCUCUUCGGACCUUGCACUAUCGGAUGAACCCAUAUGGGAUUAGCUAGUAGGUGGGGUAAAGGCUCACCUAGGCGACGAUCUCUAGCUGGUCUGAGAGGAUGAUCAGCCACACUGGGACUGAGACACGGCCCAGACUCCUACGGGAGGCAGCAGUGGGGAAUAUUGCACAAUGGGCGCAAGCCUGAUGCAGCCAUGCCGCGUGUAUGAAGAAGGCCUUAGGGUUGUAAAGUACUUUCAGCGGGGAGGAAGGUGAUAAGGUUAAUACCCUUGUCAAUAGACGUUACCCGCAGAAGAGC
rnacentral:rRNA from 1 species